rnacentral:lncRNA from 1 species
GCUGACACUAGGUAGCCCGGCCACCUGGGCGGUCCCCUGGGAGCCGCGGGAGCCCCGCAGGUCGUCUGCACAACCACGGCCAAGUUGGGAGGCUGAGUCGACUCCCAAGCUGGGAAGAGCAGGCGAGAGGACUUGGUUUGGGCAAAGGACACGCACACGUGCACACGCACACACGCACACACGCACAUGCACACGCGCACACACCCUGAGCCUUUCCUGGGGAACCACCCAGGAGCUGCUGACUCCUCACAGGGAAGAUCGGGCGGGGCGGCCGGAAGGGAGCAGGACGGGCGCUGCGCCGUCCCCGGGGACCGCCGCCUCCUGCGCCCUGCGCUUGCAUCAGCGCCUCCCGGCCGAGGCCUGGCCACCGGCGACGUCAGCCGCUUUCCCAGAAGAAUUCCACUUCCUGCGGCCGGCCGGCUGUGUGUGGGCGGGGGGUUUUGGUUUCGCAGGAUGACACCACCUCUUUGCUGCAGCUCCGCAUUCGCACAGUCUGUUGUCAUGGAGACCACAGCAUCCUGGCAGCCUCGGCGAGGCCAGCCGGUCCCGGGAAGUGACUCCGGCCUUGUCCCACGCAGGAAACCACUGGCUGCACUGGGCGCUGUGGCCCCGGCUUCUGGGUUCUGCCCUGUGGGCCACUUUCCGCAUCGCUCCUGUACCAAGAUUUUAAAGCUCUCUUACCCCAGGGUCUUAGAACCGACUCUGGGAAUAUCAAUCUCUGGACCCAGAGAAGAGGCCCGAGGCAGCUCACUGGGGGCAGAAUGCUCAAGAGGAAUAAUCAGAAUUGGCCAUUUUAGAUCCUGUUUACAGAGAACUCCCAGCAUCUUUGUAGAGAAGACCCA